AGCAAACAGCCAAGCGACGUUUUACAGACACCAAUUGCUUGUUUUAUUUGUGUAUUUAGGACUAUCAGGGAUGGUGUGACUCCCUGACCACAGCCCAGUGCCCCCUUAUAAAAAUAAAUAAAAAAAACAGCUGAUUGGAAAAGUACAAUUCCUGCUGGAUGAUGAAGACCAACAUCUUCAUCAGUCUGAGGAGGCACACUCAAACAAAUCCAAAUAAAAUCAGACACAAUUGGUCUGUCUUGCAGAAGCAAAGACGUCCUUGGGGAAUUUGACUACUAACUUUGCUGCCUUGCUCUUCUGUUGGUGUGUUGGGGCUGGACGACGGGCUCUCUGCUUUAAUCCCACACUGCAACUCUGCUGCAGUCUGUCUAACUCUACUGCCUCACCUUUUCUACUGUUCUCUCUGUGUGAGGGUAGUCACACACCUGGACCGCAGGUGGAGGCUACCUGUGUGUUGAUAAAUAAUAAUAAUGUGUCAGGACUAAAAAGGAAACACUGACUCUGUGACAUCUCUCAGCUCAGUGUGUUACAUACAGAAGACAACAUGUCAGUGUUCAGUCAUACAGGAUUAGAUUACCUGUCAUCAGCAAUGUAAACUAUAAACUCUUGUCUCACUGAUUGGAGGAGGCUCUGAUCUUAAAUAUGAGAACAAACAGAAAAAUAAGUUUUCUUUCGUUUUGUUUUCAGACAUGCACAACAAUCAGAAAGCUCUGCAUGUGUGAACAUAAAUAGCCACAUUUUUCUCCCCGGCCUUACAGCCAGCCCCGUAGUAAAAUGUCGAGGUGAGUUGAUGUGUGAAAGCAGAAGGAGGUUUGAUGGCGUUUACAUCAGUGAGCCAGGAGCUUGAUCAUAUAAUGAAGCUGCUUCAUACUCUUUCUGCUCGCCAGUAUGUUCUUUAAUGCUAGGUGUGAAGUCUGAUUACAUGGUGCGUUGAUAUAAGACAGAAAGUGUCAUUAUGUGAGCAGACUCUGUUGCUUCGUUAGCCAUUUUUGGGUUUCUGCAGUGCAUCAUAUCCCGAGUCUUGAGACCCACCUACCCCUCAUGUCUGACAGGGACGUGUAUGACUAAGCAACUCGGGAAGAUUUCAGUGGCGGUCGCUAAAGAAACAUCCAGUAUGGAUGUUCUGUUUACACCUGAAAAAUCAGUAAAUAAAUAUGGUCAGAUAAUCUGCAGUGAGCCGUGUUCCUCUGAGCGCUGUGAGUUUCUGUUUGUUGUCACAGCUGAGAGACGUUAACAUAUGGUGACUGUUCUGACAGCAGGACAGAUUAAGUGUGUGUGUGUGUGUCACAGAGACACACAAACUAACAUGACACAUCUCAGUGUCACUUUCUCGCUCUGACUUUAUAUUCUCUUUGGUAAAACAGUUCAGUUAUUCAAUGCAAACAUGUUGUAUUAAAGCAUCAACAUUAACUUUUUGUUUUCUCCUGAAGCAGACUCGGAGACAGCUGUUGGUCCUGGUCCAGACCUGGGGUCUCAUUUAUAAAACGGCAUAGAAUCCAGUCUUAACGUGUACAUAAGCACAAAACGAGAUAAUGGGAAUAAUAAUAGAUCUAUAAAACCCUGAGCACACAACCUGCACGCAGAUGCCGCACAUGGAGAAGUGUCUUACACAUUCAGACAGCGCUGGGAAAUGUGAGGCAGAAUUUUAUGUAAUGUUCAUCAUUUUACAUAUUAACAAGCACACAUAACUCUGAUUGGAUGUUUAUGAUGAUCAGUAAAGAAACUGCUUCAGUUCACCAUCUGCAUCGAUACGUUCCCUCAAAAUGUUUGUGGGAAUGUGUCAGAGUUUAAUACGCCUCUUUGGGCCCAUCUGCUGCAUAAGGGUUGUAAAUAAGACCCUGGGUCCUGAGGAGGAUCACAGUCAAGUUAGAUUGUAGGUCAGGUGUGUUUAAACUGGAAGAACACACUGAGGAAGUAGUAGAAGAUCCUGGUUCAUGAUGACACAGCGGAGGUGUUUUCACACAUUAAACAUGUGGGUCAGGAUCGUCUUCAUCCCAGUAUUUUAUACAGGAUGUUAUGAUUCAAACCUUAUCAACAAACAGGUUGAUAUACUGCACAGUAAAGGCUGUAGGCUUUUUGUCCUCGCUCACUUUUCCUCAGUGCAUUUUGAUAAGGUAGUGUCAUGUGGCUCACGGGGUUGACUCAUUAUGCAAUAAAAAAACAUGCUAAGCUAAAAACAUACUUUUAAAAAUAUAUUUCCAUUCAGCUUUCCUGUUUUUUGUUUAUUCAAUUUAAUUACCGGUAGUAUAAAUUAGAAGGUGGGAAAAAACCCCAGCAUUCAGUAAGCAGCGAGCUCUGGAUAGUGAGACCUGCAGACGUGUGAGCCGCUGGUAUCCUCUGAACCAGAAGAAUCCCAUAGGACUGUUUUUACCAAGUCCCACUCAGAGCUCUCUCAGUUUGUGGAUAUGAGCUCACCGUUUACACACCCACACCACCAGGUAACUUUGGAUCUCUCCUGUCCUGCAGUUUCCCCCUCAACAGCACGUCAUAGUUGUUGUCAAAAUCGCUUAUUCUUACGCCGUGUCCCAACAGCACACGAACGUUGGAUAUCGCGUAUUAUCGCCCCUUAUGGCCCGCUCGCUGUCCACACUGCAUCCGUUAAAUAUCUUAAUUCUUUGCUCUGUGAAUUUCUGUUCCCCGUUGGAAACCGUAUGACAUCUAGUGCUUUUAUUUUGAAGGUGGACAGACUGAAGUGUGGUGCUUUGUAUUGAUCAGAUCAGCUGUUGACUUGGUCAAAGCUAAACAUGUUUUCCACUUAUCCA